AAGCUCGUAGUUGAAUUUCGGGUUCUACCGUUGGUCGGGCAAUAGUCUGUACUGGCGUGUAGAAUUUCUACCUUCUGGGGAACCAUCAUGUUAUUUAUUUAGCGUGGUGGGAAACCAGGACCUUUACCUUGAAAAAAUUAGAGUGUUCAAAGCAGGCUUACGUCUGAAUACAUUAGCAUGGAAUAAUAAAAUAGGACGGUGGUCCUGUUUUGUCGGUUUCUGAAUCACCGUAAUGAUUAAUAGGGAUAGUUGGG
rnacentral:rRNA from 1 species